CUUAUCAACCUCUAUUCCCUCU
rnacentral:snRNA from 1 species